rnacentral:rRNA from 1 species
AUUGAACGCUGGCGGCAGGCCUAACACAUGCAAGUCGAACGGUAACAGGAAGAAGCUUGCUUCUUUGCUGACGAGUGGCGGACGGGUGAGUAAUGUCUGGGAAACUGCCUGAUGGAGGGGGAUAACUACUGGAAACGGUAGCUAAUACCGCAUAACGUCGCAAGACCAAAGAGGGGGACCUUCGGGCCUCUUUCCAUCGGAUGUGCCCAGAUGGGAUUAGCUAGUAGGUAGGGUAACGGCUCACCUAGGCGACGAUCCCUAGCUGGUCUGAGAGGAUGACCAGCCACACUGGAACUGAGACACGGUCCAGACUCCUACGGGAGGCAGCAGUGGGGAAUAUUGCACAAUGGGCGCAAGCCUGAUGCAGCCAUGCCGCGUGUAUGAAGAAGGCCUUCGGGUUGUAAAGUACUUUCAGCGGGGAGGAAGGGAGUAAAGUUAAUACCUUUACUCAUUGACGUUACCCGCAGAAGAAGCACCGGCUAACUCCGUG